AAAAACCUUGAACAGCAGAAGGAAAACCACCAGGUAAGUAACUGAAACAGCUUCAACCAGCAGGUAAGUAACUAAAUGCCAGAGAGCAAAAAGCAGGCCAUCCAAAACUUGACUGCAGUCUGGGAUGAAAAGUAGUGAUGGGACGAGCAACACUGGUGCGCCAACACUGUGCCGAGUGCACAAGUGUGAAACCCCGUAUCGGUGCGUGUAUCACUAACAAAAAAGCACGUGACCGAUACAGGAAGUGUAUCGGUUUGAGGUGCCGGCGCCAAAUUGUGUUUAUAAGGAACCGAACUGCAUCAACAUGUCGUGGGUUUGUUGUAUGGAGAGUGUUAUGCACCAUAUAUCUAGGGGUGCAGGGCAUAACAUAAGAAAAGAAAAUUAUCUAGAAAACUAAAAAAAACUAAACCAAAUGUCAGUCAGAAAAACCCCAAACAACCAAAAUAGAGGCUGACUAGUGAUUUGUACAAAGACGUUAAGAGGUUUUAUUACUCCUCACCAAAGAUAACAAAACAAACCAAAAAACAGACAAAUUAAGCAUUUGACUUCAGGGUGAACAACAGGCCAAAAUAAUAAACAAAACAGGACUAACUCAAAUGUCAAACCCUCUACCUAACCUGUAGAUGAAACAAAACAAAAUAAAUGACAGAGUCUAACCUGUCUCCCUGAACUAACCAAAAACAGGAGAAAACAGUCACAAACAAAAUGGCAGUUCACCCCUACUAGCUGCUUAAACUAACAAAAAGUCUUAAAUUCACAAAAACUCUUCACAAGUCUCAAGUUUCUCAAUAAAGGCAUCAGAAACCACCAACAACAACAGUUCUCAUAAAAGGUGGGGAGGAGAGACAACCAGUCCACCAACAAAAUCUCCCCACGCGAGGAAGUGGAGAUGCCUGGUUUAUGAAGGGUCUUCCUCCAAUCCUGAGCAGCCACCAAUCCUCUCUCCUCCAAUCCAGCGCUGGGAUCUGUCUUCCUCCGGCCAAUCUUGAGCUGCCACAAGAUCUUCGGUCCACCAAUCCACAACCUGAAAUAGAACAUAAGGAACCUACACACAUACAAAAAGAACUCCUGCAUUGUACACAGUACAAUAAAAAAUAAAGAAAAAAAAAACAAUACGACGAUGGUCGUAACAGAGAGUAAACUGUUUAUUGUGUCUUUCGGAGUUUUUGCAUUGCUUCUACUCAUGGACCGUUCCAGGAAAUUUUCCAAAGUCUGGAAUAAUUUUGAUCUUUUGACGCCGAAUAAGGUAAAUCUUUUCCUCCUUUGGCCAUUGUUUACUGUUAGUUCUUAAUUCAGUGUCUCUACUCUUUUCUACUAAGAGGUUGGAUUUUUCUUUCAGAUAAAUUAACUUUUUUUUUUAUUGUAGGUGAAGUGUCGGCUCUGCUCAACUGAAUUGUCUUACAUCAAUAAGAGCACGUCAUCAAUGCUGAGGCAUUAUAGAGCUCGGCAUGGCAAUGAAGAGUCGGCAGACACUCCUGCUGCGAGUACCCCAGUUCCUAACAAGCAAGCGUUGGAUGAGGCUGUGGUCAACAUGAUCAUCAAAGACUGUCAGCCACUCACCCUUGUAGAAAAUGAGGGAUUCAGGGCGCUCAUGCAGCUUGUUGCUCCCUCAUAUGUUCUACCAAGCAGGAAGACCGUCAAGGACUUGGUCGACCAGAAAUAUGAGGAAGAAAAGGAGAAAACAAAAAAGGACCUCCAGAGUGCCAUUGCUGUUACUUUAACAGCUGACAUGUGGACCUCCAUUAAUAUGGAGGCAUAUCUUGCCGUUACAUGCCACUAUGUGGAUCAAGACAGCCAUGACUUGCAUACAUCAGUCUUGGGAGUGCAGCAUUUUUCACAGAAACACACAGUCAUGUGACCCCAUUACAACGCUAACAGAUAUACGCAACAAAACACGGCAAAUUGUGACAUACUUUCGAUCAAGCACCACGGCCAAAGAAAAGCUUGCUCAAAUACAGCAACAGCUGGGAACACCAUUGCAUAAGUUAAUAAACGAGGUGCCAACACGAUGGAACAGCACCUACCACAUGCUGGAGAGAAUAACUGAGCAGAAGGAGGCAGUCUGGGUGUCUUUGGCCUCACUGAGAAAUGAUAUUACUCCACUGACUCCUGAAGAUUUUGAUGUCAUUGAAGAGAUGCUCAGGGUGCUCUCUCCGUUUGAACAAGCCACAAGAGAACUAUCUGAGGAAAAAAAGAGUCUCAGGGUCAAAGGUGAUUCCUCUGAUGAGAAUGAUCCACAUUGAGCUUCAACAUCAAGCCUCAACACUAACAAGACCAGCUGCUCAAGAACUGGCAGAAAACCUGAAAAGGAGACUAACUGAGUCCAUCUGCAACAUGGAAUCACUCAGUGUGAUGACACUGGCAACACUCUUGGACCCCAGGUUUAAAACAGUCGGCUUCUUUAGUCCAUUAAAAGCAACAGAAGCUGUUAAGAGACUGAAGUCUGAGUGCGCUGCUGAAAUGAGGAGCCAUGACCCUGACCCAGCGGAAGAACCAAGCUCUUCACAUGGAUCAGAACCCAGUUCAGGGCACAAUCUCUGGACACCUUUCGACAUGGAAGUUCAGGAGAAUAGGAUGAACAGCAAUUCUACAGCGGAUUCCAUUGUUGAAGUACAACGCUACUUGGCCGAAGGAAACACACCCAGAACGCAAGACCCAUUACAAUACUGGAAGAACAACCGGAAAACAUAUCCACACCUAUAUCUACUCGCUCUCAAAUAUCUGUGCACGCCAUCUUCAUCAGUUCCCUGUGAACGUGUAUUUUCGAAGGCUGGAGAACUGGUGUCUAAGAGGAGAAAUCGCCUAGGAGCAAAGACACUCCAAAAACUUUUAUUCCUCAAUAAAAAUGUAUGAAUUAAUUCAUUUUCAGUGUGUUAUUUCAUAUGAUUGAACACUUUGGUUAACAAAAU